GCCUGGGUGGCUCAGUCAGUUGAGCAUCUGACUGUGGCUCAGGUCAAGAUCUCAUGGUUCGUGAGUUCCAGUCCCAUGUCAGGCU
rnacentral:tRNA from 1 species